rnacentral:rRNA from 1 species
UACGUAGGGGGCAAGCGUUGUCCGGAAUUAUUGGGCGUAAAGCGCGCGCAGGCGGUCAUUUAAGUCUGGUGUUUAAGCCCGGGGCUCAACCCCGGUUCGCAUCGGAAACUGGAUGACUUGAGUGUAGGAGAGGAAAGUGGAAUUCCACGUGUAGCGGUGAAAUGCGUAGAGAUGUGGAGGAACACCAGUGGCGAAGGCGGCUCACUGGCCCGUAACUGACGCUGAGGCACGAAAGCGUGGGGAGCAAACAGG